rnacentral:rRNA from 1 species
GACGUAGGGGGCGAGCGUUGUCCGGAUUUAUUGGGCGUAAAGCGCGCGUAGGCGGCCGCUCAAGUCGGGUGUGAAAACCCGGGGCUCAACCCCGGGCCUGCAUUCGAUACUGGGUGGCUAGAGGCAGGCAGGGGAGAGUGGAAUUCCUGGUGUAGCGGUGAAAUGCGCAGAUAUCAGGAGGAACACCGGUGGCGAAGGCGGCUCUCUGGGCCUGUCCUGACGCUCAGGCGCGAAAGCUAGGGGAGCAAACAGG